rnacentral:tRNA from 1 species
AGUUAAUGAACUUGUUAAAGUAUAUAUUUUGAAAAUAUAAAAAAGGGGCAUUAAUUCUCUAUUAACUU